rnacentral:rRNA from 1 species
CAGCAGCCGCGGGAACACGAAGGGUGCAAGCGUUAAUCGGAAUUACUGGGCGUAAAGCGUGCGUAGGCGGUUUGUUAAGUCUGUUGUGAAAUCCCCGGGCUCAACCUGGGAAUGGCAAUGGAUACUGGCAAGCUAGAGUGUGUCAGAGGAUGGUGGAAUUCCCGGUGUAGCGGUGAAAUGCGUAGAGAUCGGGAGGAACAUCAGUGGCGAAGGCGGCCAUCUGGGACAACACUGACGCUGAGGCACGAAAGCGUGGGGAGCAAACAGGAUUAGAUACCCCAGUAGUCCCUGUCUCUUAUAC